AGCAUAGGCCGCGCAGGGAACUCGGGGCUAGGGGUCUUUGUCAGACGAUGCAAGUUGCCCACACCCCGCCCUCGGAGCGCAUUUCCGGAAAUGAGACCUCGCCCACCCCGAGACUGUCACGCUCGGACGCGCGCCCGCUAGUGGCGUGCGCAGGCGCCCAAGUGCCGCGCAGCCGCCAUUUUGCCCCUUUAGCCGAGGGACUUGGCCCGUUAUUAGAAGUUUGCAGGCACGAAAGGAAAGAGCCAUGGUCCACGCCUUCCUCAUCCACACCCUGCGGGCCACCAAGGCUGAGGAGGGCUUUUGCCGAGUGCUCUAUUCUUGCUUCUUCGGUGCCGAGAAUUCACCCAAUGACCCACAGCCACGCAGUGCUGAGAGGGACAGACUUCUCCGAAAGGAGCAGAUUUUGGCCGUGGCCAGGCAGGUGGAGUCCAUGUACCAGCUGCAGCAGCAGGCGUGUGGCCGGCACGCUGUGGACCUGCAACCCCAGUCCUCAGAUGAUCCAGUUGCCCUUCAUGAGGCCCCGUGUGGGGCCUUCCGCCUGGCGCCAGGGGACCCUUUCCAGGAGCCUCGGACAGUGGUGUGGCUAGGCGUGCUCUCUAUAGGCUUUGCCCUGGUGCUGGAUACUCACGAGAACCUGCUGCUGGUGGAGAACACGCUUCGAUUGCUGGCUCGCCUUCUCCUUGACCAUCUCCGACUGCUGGUCCCUGGUGCCAACCUCCUGCUGAGGGCUGACUGCGUUGAAGGCAUCCUCACCCGCUUCCUGCCCCAUGGUCAGCUGCUCUUCCUCAAUGACCAGUUUGUCCAGGGUCUAGAGAAAGAAUUCAGUGCUGCCUGGUCCCACUGACCCACACUGGGAUGGGAGUCCUCACAAGGUCAAGGAGAUGCUGUUAAAGGGACACAUAGUCAGAGUACAUCAUGAGCAAUGCUGGACUGGAUGAAGCAGAAGCUGGAAUCAAGAUUGCUGGGAGAAAUAUCAAUAACCUCAGAUACACAGAUGACACCACCCUUAUGGCAGAAAACAAGGAGGAACUAAAGAGCCUCUUGAUGAAGGUGAAAAAGGGGAGUGAAAAAGCUGGCUUAAAACUCAGUAUUCAAAAAACUAAGAUCAUGCCAUCCAAUCCCAUCACUUCAUGGCAAAUAGAUGGGGAAACAGUGGAAACAGUGACAGACUUUAUUUUUGGGGGCUCCAAAAUCACUGCAGAUGGUGACUGCAACCAGGAAUUUAUUUUUAUUUAUUUAUUUAUUUUUUUAGAACUUGCUCCUUGGAAGAAAAGCUAUGACAAACCUAGAGAGCCUAUUAAAAAGCAGAGACAUUACUUUGCCAGCAAAGGUCUUUCUAGUCAAAAACUAUUGGUUUUUCCAGUAGUCAUGUAUGGAUAUGAGAGUUGAACUCAUAAAGAAGGCUGAGCACUGAAGAAUUGAUGCUUUUGAGCUGUUGUGUUGGAGAAAACCCUUGAGAGUUGCUUGGACAGCAAGCAGAUCAAACCAGUCCAUCCUAAAGGAAAUCAACCCUGAGUAGUCAUUGGAAGGACUGACGCUGAAGCUGAAGCUCCAAUACUUUGGCCACUUGAUGCGAAGAGCCGACUCACUAGAAAAGACCGUGAUGGUGGGAAAGAUUGAAGGUAGGAGUUAGGGACGACAGAGGAUGAGAUGGUUACAUGGCAUCGCCAACUCAGUGGACAUGAGUUUGAGCAAACUCCGUGAGAUGGUGAAGGACAGGGAAGCCUGGCGUGCUGCAGUCCGUGGGGUCGCAAAGAGUUGGACAUGAUUGAGUGACUGAACAACAGUAACAAUUGCUUGAGCCCUCAUCCUGCCUGAAGUGGGACACUUGGUAUUGCCCCAGCGCAUCAUAUGUGUCUCAUGAGCGUCACUUGUCCUUGUCCUCAUCUUCUGCGACAUUGUCCAUCUUACUUGGGUCUCAGUGCAUGUGAUUUCUCCUUCUCCCUGCCCUGAUAUAUUUGCUUAGGUGCAGAAUACAUGCUCUUUGCCUUGAUGCCACCAAAGAAACAGGUUUUGGGGCACAACAGACUUUUUAUAAACUUUGGAGGAUAGAGGAGGGUUAUCUAAUAGAAUGACAAAGCAAAAAACUUAAGAUUUAGUGUUAGACACCAUGUUUCCUGAGUCUCUUGACCAUAACCCCCAAGAGGGUCUUAUCACUCCUAGUUCCCCCUUGUCCUUGGCCUCCCAUCAACUUUCAGACUGCUCCCUUCUGCUUUAUUAUUAUUAUUACAUUUACUGAAAACUUUUUUCAUUUUUUAUUGUAAAAUAUACAUAACAUAAAAUUGAACAUUUUAACCAUUUUUUUAAAAAUUUGUAUUUCUUUAAAACUAUGAAAGUAUAAUAACACAUUUACAGGAAACUUGGAAAAGACAGAACAAGGUUCCACUGUAUAUUACAGUUGUUUUAUUUAAGUAGAUAAAUUAAGAUUUUUAGUUGGAGUUUCAAAAUCAAACUCAAAAAUUAAUACGGUGAAUAUACAGAGAGGUAGAAGGGUAUAGUAGACCUGCAAUGUGCUGUGAACCAAUACAACAUAAUGAAGAUUUAUACCGUUUUCAUAGAACAGGAGGAAACAAAUUCUGUUUAAGUUCCCAUAGACUAUAAGCUAGGAGAUACUGGAAAAUAUCCAGGGACAUAAAACAAAGUGCAAAAUUUUCAUCGUCUAAAGGUAUUAAAAUCAUACAGAAUCAAAAAGAAAUCAUACAGAAUCUGUUCUCUUAUCACUGUGGAAUUAUGUUAGAAAUCAAUAUCAAAAUAUUUGAAAAUAACCCACAUAUUUUCAAGUGCAACAUGACAUUUAC